UCUUCCAGUCUGGACAUUUCUGUGAAGACAUGAUCCCUACAGUUGGGUUCAAUAUGAGGAAGGUGACCAAAGGAAAUGUCACCAUCAAGAUCUGAGAUAUAGGUGGACAGCCAAGAUUCAGGAGCAUGUGGGAGCGGUACUGUCGAGGAGUUAAUGCAAUUGUGUACAUGGUUGAUGCAGCAGAUCAAGAGAAA